CGGGGGAGAAGUGUAACGAAGUAUGCAGAUUGGAGUCCAUCUUUCUGAGAGGACAAGGCGCUUGCAGAAGAGUUUCUCUUUAGAACUCAGAGGACAUAAAGCAUGCCAAUUAAAUUUCCUUUCAGCCUGCUGUCAUUUGGUGUGGCCUGUGAGGAACAUCCUACUUCCUGUGUAUCCAAAGGUCUCAGCUCAUUUCCUUGGUUACUGUCAACUCCGACCACCAGUAAAGGCUUCUCCUGCCACAGCUCCCAGGACUCAGGGCCCUGACCAUGUGCCUUUGCCUAAAUAACACUAUUUUAUCAUGUGUGCAGUUCCUAGUUGGAAAGCUUUAUCUGAAUUUCUUAACAAAAAAUUGAACUUGUUCCUUUUAAGGCUGACAAAUGCUAUUCAUCCUAGGACUCCUCAAACUCUCUUAACUUUUCCACCAGUUCUACACGAGACAGGAUUAAAGGAUUGAAUGGCUCAGUACCAGGUUCCUCACACAUAUUUAGGGGCCAGAGAACUCUUAAGCAUUUACCAUAGCAUGGAAUGGUGGUUUAAUGCGGGGUCCUACCCACAUUUACUCUACUGGAGUU
rnacentral:lncRNA from 1 species